rnacentral:rRNA from 1 species
GAUGAACGCUGGCGGCGUGCCUAAUACAUGCAAGUCGAGCGAACGGACGAGAAGCUUGCUUCUCUGAUGUUAGCGGCGGACGGGUGAGUAACACGUGGAUAACCUACCUAUAAGACUGGGAUAACUUCGGGAAACCGUAGCUAAUACCGGAUAAUAUUUUGAACCGCAUGGUUCAAAAGUGAAAGACGGUCUUGCUGUCACUUAUAGAUGGAUCCGCGCUGCAUUAGCUAGUUGAUAAGGUAACGGCUUACCAAGGCAACGAUGCAUAGCCGACCUGAGAGGGUGAUCGGCCACACUGGAACUGAGACACGGUCCAGACUCCUACGGGAGGCAGCAGUAGGGAAUCUUCCGCAAUGGGCGAAAGCCUGACGGAGCAACGCCGCGUGAGUGAUGAAGGUCUUCGGAUCGUAAAACUCUGUUAUUAGGUAAGAACAUAUGUGUAAGUAACUGUGCACAUCUUGACGGUACCUAAUCAGAAAGCCACGGCUAACUACGUG